rnacentral:rRNA from 1 species
UACGAAGGGGGCUAGCGUUGUUCGGAAUCACUGGGCGUAAAGGGCGCGUAGGCGGCCGAUCAAGUCGGGGGUGAAAGCCUGUGGCUUAACCACAGAAUGGCCUUCGAUACUGUUUGGCUUGAGACCGGAAGAGGUUAGUGGAACUGCGAGUGUAGAGGUGAAAUUCGUAGAUAUUCGCAAGAACACCAGUGGCGAAGGCGGCUGACUGGUCCGGUUCUGACGCUGAGGCGCGAAAGCGUGGGUAGCAAACAGG